CCCUAUGGCGCAACGGUAGCGCGUUUGACUCCAGAUCAAAAGGUUAUCCGUUCAAAUCGGGUUGGGG
rfam:Ceratocystis platani strain CFO contig_00274, whole genome shotgun sequence.